rnacentral:rRNA from 1 species
GAUGAACGCUGGCGGCGUGCCUAAUACAUGCAAGUCGAGCGAACAGACGAGGAGCUUGCUCCUCUGACGUUAGCGGCGGACGGGUGAGUCACACGUGGAUAACCUACCUAUAAGACUGGGAUAACUUCGGGAAACCGGAGCUAAUACCGGAUAAUAUAUUGAACCGCAUGGUUCAAUAGUGAAAGACGGUUUUGCUGUCACUUAUAGAUGGAUCCGCGCCGCAUUAGCUAGUUGGUAAGGUAACGGCUUACCAAGGCAACGAUGCGUAGCCGACCUGAGAGGGUGAUCAGCCACACUGGAACUGAGACACGGUCCAGACUCCUACGGGAGGCAGCAGUAGGGAAUCUUCCGCAAUGGGCGAAAGCCUGACGGAGCAACGCCGCGUGAGUGAUGAAGGUCUUCGGAUCGUAAAACUCUUUUAUUAGGGAAGAACAAAUGUGUAAGUAACUAUGCACGUCUUGACGGUACCUAAUCAGAAAGCCACGGCUAACUACGUG